rnacentral:tRNA from 2 species
GCCGGAGUGGCGGAAUCGGCAGACGCGCCGGACUCAAAAUCCGGUAUGGGCAACCAUGUGUGGGUUCAACUCCCACCUCCGGCA